rnacentral:rRNA from 1 species
UUCGACACACUAUCAUUAACUGAAUCCAUAGGUUAAUGAGGCGAACCGGGGGAACUGAAACAUCUAAGUACCCCGAGGAAAAGAAAUCAACCGAGAUUCCCCCAGUAGCGGCGAGCGAACGGGGAGCAGCCCAGAGCCUGAAUCAGUGUGUGUGUUAGUGGAAGCGUCUGGAAAGGCGCGCGAUACAGGGUGACAGCCCCGUACACAAAAAUGCACAUGCUGUGAGCUCGAUGAGUAGGGCGGGACACGUGGUAUCCUGUCUGAAUAUGGGGGGACCAUCCUCCAAGGCUAAAUACUCCUGACUGACCGAUAGUGAACCAGUACCGUGAGGGAAAGGCGAAAAGAACCCCGGCGAGGGGAGUGAAAAAGAACCUGAAACCGUGUACGUACAAGCAGUGGGAGCACGCUUAGGCGUGUGACUGCGUACCUUUUGUAUAAUGGGUCAGCGACUUAUAUUCUGUAGCAAGGUUAACCGAAUAGGGGAGCCGAAGGGAAACCGAGUCUUAACUGGGCGUUAAGUUGCAGGGUAUAGACCCGAAACCCGGUGAUCUAGCCAUGGGCAGGUUGAAGGUUGGGUAACACUAACUGGAGGACCGAACCGACUAAUGUUGAAAAAUUAGCGGAUGACUUGUGGCUGGGGGUGAAAGGCCAAUCAAACCGGGAGAUAGCUGGUUCUCCCCGAAAGCUAUUUAGGUAGCGCCUCGUGAAUUCAUCUCCGGGGGUAGAGCACU